AUAAGUAGCGAGCGAACCGAAUAUUAAAUACAAAAAAACAGCUAUACCUUGGUACGUUUUUGAGCGUUCAGCAUAUCAGAAGAAUAGAAGUUAGGAUUAUUGUUGGGAUUUUCACCUUCAACCAUUGGGGAAUGGGUACCUUGGCGUUUAAUCCCCUGAAGACUAUAGGGCGGAACAGAGGCAAUCGGCAUGGAUUGAGGAAGAAUUGAUGGAUCCAUAUUGGGGAUAUUAUUUUGGUCCAAAAGACGAUUAGCUUGACUAAUUGCAUUAGCAGGCAUAGUGGGAGGUUGCUUGGCAUAACGAUAAUUAGAGGCAAGACUAGCAACAUCACCAUUCCUAGGCGAGCCAUUAAACCCCGAGGGGGCUGGAUUUGCAUAUGGAAUAUUAGAGGAAGUAGACUUUUGCAUUUGAUGCUGUUGUUGUAAAGCUGUAGCAAAUUUAUGUAAAGCGCUAGUCGGACCCGAUCGCUGAGCAAGAGUGAAGGCUAUGAGAUCGCGCAUUCCCGAAAUUGUUUCAGUAAUUUCCAUGAACCGCAUGAUGUGCGGUUCCAAUCCAUAUUCGUUGACGGGUGAAUCCGGCAAAAGAGAAGAAGAUGAGUUAAUAUUUACACUUUCGGAUGACGGAUCCUCACUUUUUACCCCAUCGUGUUGUAUUUGAUUUUGAGGAGGCCGCGACUGCGAAAGGGCUAGGGAAGCGUUUGUCAUUAACUCGCGCAAAAGAUACUCGGAAUGUCCGACAGCUGAAAACUCUAAAGAGUCUAAUUUUAACAAAGGAGCACGAAAGAAAUGAGCCCGCAAGUGCCCCGAUACAAUUACCUGUACACCGCCUUGAUACUGAUAUAAAAUGCUUGCCCUUGACGAUUCCACAAAAUACCCAUUGUUUGGAAUGGCAAAUUCCUUUGUAUUUCCCAAAAGGAACGACAUCUUUUUAAGUUUGCCGCAAUAACUCAGAUAUAAGAAGCGCGGAAGUGCUGCAUACGAUAAUUCAAACAAUUUCGGCUCCUGGUUUGGCGAAUCUUUGUAGUCGAUGUUAUAGCGAAAUGUUCCCUUUUCAGUAUAAAAAUCAUGCACAAAUCGUCUCCAAUACCCAAUAUCAUCUUUCAUGGUACUUUCCCAUCCUGACAUUAACUGUUCAUUAUAUUGUAAUAAUCGCAAAACACCGUAUCCUAGUAUAUUCGAGCCAUUAUGAUACAUCAUGGACGCAUAGUUUGCAACCAUAGCUGCGAAAUUUACAAGAAAGCCACCAGCGCUGCAGAAUUGGAUUUGUUCAAAGUGCAAAGCGCUUGUGAAACAUUAACGGCCGGAGCCCGCCAUGCAUGGUUAACCCUUUAAGUGAAUUAGAGAUUGGCACGCUACGUUAAAGACAUUUAGAAAAUGUGAUGCGCUGUGU